CAGAAAAAUAUUUAAAAAAAAGAUAAAUUAAACCACAAAAAGUUUGAUAGAUGUGAAAUAUUUCAAUGUCAGGAAUUCAGUGGAAUUUAAAGUCCAAAUUCAAAUAUUCUUUGCACUUUUUUGCUUCCAUAUAAACCUUAAAACUAAUAUUAUAAUAUUUAUCUAAUAUCAGUUUCUGUAUCAGUCGAGUUCAGCUGAGAAAAAACUCCAAAUGCAAAAUCUUCCCCUCUCAAAUCGAACAUUUUAGCACUUUCCCCCGACAUCAAAUCACCAAACUGAUCAGUUUCGUGUCAGAUUCAUCAGCAUCAGGUCGGCGGCGGCUGUGUUUCCAUGGUUACCUGCAUCAUUAAAGCACCUUAUUAUCGUCAUGGAGACUCCGGAGGAAAAAAAACCUGGUGGAAACUAACGAGGAUUUCUGAACAAACUGAGGGAAUAAAAACGCUUUGGACAGACGAGACGCGGUGGAUUAUUAUUAUUAUUAUUAUUAUAACGGGACGGAUCGAUGGAGUUUAAAACUGCUGAGUCAUCGCCAUGGAGACGGACGACCUGCGGAGUCAGAACACCUGAGAGGUGAAGAACGAUGAGCCGCUGUUCCACCGUGUCCUACCAACAGACUGCUCCCUCUUCCUCCUCCUCCUCCUCCUCCUCCUCUUCUCUCUGUGAUGAAGGUGAAAUAAAACAAACUCUGACUCUCGUAGAGAUCUCGGAGCUCUGAGACGUCCUGUUUCCAUCCCUCCUGAUGUUUGGGACUCUGAGGUACGACAAGCGUUACUUGAAAUAUUAACUCCUCGUCUGCUGGCUGCCAGAUCCUCCACAGAUCCUCCUCGUGUCCUCCAGUAGAUGUUUCUGUCUGUCAUAUCAUAUUCAAACCAAAACAUAUUACUGCAUGCUUGGGAAGUAGAGCAUGUAAAGACGGAGGAGAACGGGAACAACAGCAGCUCAUCCAUUAUUGUGUUCGACUGGUGGAGUUAUAGUCGCUAAAUCUAUAUUUUUUAAAGUAUCAUACUGUAUAUGUUUUAUAUGGAGCGGGAUUGGUUGAUUAUUUUGUAGAUUUUUAACAUUUUUGCUAAACUGUUUUCAUUUUUUUUUUUUGCCUUGGUAAAAACAGCUCCAGUGAGCAGCUCUGAUGGAAAUGUCUGCCUGCAAAAAGCCCCAAUCUGAAGAAAUAUUAACCUUCUGGGCCCACUUUAAUUUAACCCUUUCAGACCCUUCGGGCUGACAACUACAAAAACGUGAUAAAAAACUUUACAGAUUAAUAUUUUUUCUACUUUUUUUUCCUUCUUAGAUCUUAGACAACUUCUGCUAAACUAACAAUGUUUAAACACUUUACAUUACAUACAUUUACAUACAUUUUAACCCUUUAAAUGCCAGUUUGAUUGCACAAUGUCAUUGAUGGUUUUUUUUUAUGAAAAAACAAACACCAAAAUGUAGUUAUUUUCCAUAUAAUAAAUAUUUUUUGUCUGGGGCAUUGGUUUGAAGCCUCGGAUAUGAAGAUAAAGAAAAAAAUUGAUUUUGAUGCAUUUUUAGUUUUUGUGUUGUGUCAGAUUUAAAAUGUAAAAACUCCUUUAUGGCCACUAGAUGGCAGACAUGUACACUUCCAAAAAACGCUAUAAAAAUAUUAUUCCUGAUAUAUAUUUUUUUCAACUUUUUGGGGUUAAAUCUUUCAAUCAACAGAUAAAAACAAAUGCCAAGCCGAAAAAUAUUUAUUAUGUGGAAAAUAACUAAUUGUUUAUGUUUUUUCUUUGAGAAACAGUGACAUCAUGUAAUCAAAGUGGCAUUUAAAGUGUCAAAAUCCUCAAAAAUCAUGCCAUUUGAAGUAUCACAGUCAAAAUUAUUGUCAAAACAAAAGUGAAAAACGACAAAUAUGACUGAAAAUGUCCAUAGUGGUCCCAGAGGGUUAAUGUGGGAAAUUAUAAAAGAAGAGAAGCAUUUAUCGCAGACAUUUGACAUCUGAUUUUCUUUGAAUGAUUUUGAAUGUUUCUGAGUGUCUGGGUUCGGAUCAGAAUGCUGUAAUAUCUGUUAUUAUUAUGGAUAACAUCUACCUCAGUGUCCGCUCAUCAACGACAGAAGCUUUAACGCCUGAAUGACGUUGUGUCGCUCCGUUAUUAUUGUUAUCUGUCACUAGAAUAACGCUUCUCUAAUUAUCAAUAAACCCAAACGCUUGAUAAACUGCCAUUGGAUAACUCAGAGGAGAAGAAAAAAACUAAAGAUGCUCGAGGAAAAAUAAGUGAACAGCUCAGAGCCUGACAUCACCGUUUUCUUUGCACAUUUUAAUUUAUUGGUGAAAUUGUUGGUGAAAGUGUGUGAGUGAGUGAGUGAGUGAGUGAGUGUGACUGUUUUAAAUGAAUUGUUGAUUUAAGGGCAAUAAUGUACUGCAGAGGUUUCCUACCAUUCAAUAAAUAAAUAGAGUGUCUUAAAUUUGAUUAUAAUGGAAAUUAAGUUGAUGGUGUAAAAAGUUGUUUCAGACAAGAUCCAGUCCAAUUGGUGACAAUAAUAAGAAACAAUCUGAAAAUGUCUUUCCCAGAUUGAUCUGAGAAGAUGGAUAGCGGUUUAAUCUCUGGGUGGUUUCCAGGGUGUGUUUAGCGUAGUUUAGCACAAAGACAGAGGGCAGAGAGGCAGAGGGAAAACUGCUAGCCUCAAAUACAACCGCCAAAAAACACCUCAAACCUGUCAUUGUUUUUAGGUUCAGUUAUCAACAACGACUGUGAUAAAAGUGACAAAAACCAGAACAAACACUGUGAAAAUGUGUAAUUUAUAACCCAGAGAUUCCAAAGUUGAACUAUGUUUAUCUCACCAAUCUGCGUACAAAUAAAGCAACUUUACACUUGAAUUACGUGCAAUGCUUACGCCAAUAUCCAGUUCCUCUGUAUCUGCUCCUCAGUGUCUCCACCACAGCUCCCAUAGACUCCUAUGAAAGUCUCAGGACAUGGUAAGGUUCACUGCUGGAGCAAAAAGGUUUGGUUUGGUUGAAUUUGUGUUCCGUCAGCACUUCUCUAAGGUUAGGGGCCAAACAGUUCCUGGUUGGGCUCUAAAAGACAGUUUAAAGAGGAAAUAAAUGAUGCAAAUGGUGGAAAUGAAGUAGUUAGGAGAACGACGUGACUACUGGAAGUGACAUAGUUCAGUAAAAACCUGAUGCAGGAAGUUAAGAGAUGUUUGAAUCACAUGCUGCACUUUGGCUUCACACGGGGCACCAACAACAACGCGGCUUUUUGCUUUUGGUGAUUAAAUUCACGGUUCAAGAAUCAUAAACUAAUGAACAAUUGCAAUAAUCCAAAACUGAUGGAAAAUUCCGGCAGCUGUUUGUUUUGGGAACCAGGGAGAUGCUUGGAUUGGGGAACUUCUGGGUUGGCAGAAACAUAAUUCCUGCAUUCAGCUGUAGAAAAAUUAAAAUAUUGUGGUUUUAGAAGUAUCGAGCAUUGGAUGGUCAAUAAACCCGAACAUGUUGGGUUUUCUAGUUCAGCUCCGUCUCAACUACAGCAGCAGGUUUAAUCUUUUUCCUACAUGUUGUGGUUUAUUUGUAUUAUUUUUUACUCCUAGCAGAAGUGAAUAGUUUCCCCUCUUUCCAGUCUGGGGAUGGUUGAAACUGAUAUCCAUCUUUGCAAGAUAACAAACAAAAAUACUUUUUUAUUAUCAUCAUCAGAAAUUAGUGGUACCAGACUGUAAAAACUUGUUUCCAUCAUCAACUCUGCACUUUGGUGUUGUUGUGUUUCUGCUUUGCUCGGACAUAAAAACAGCCGAGGGUGAUUUCUGUGUGUGACGGAGGCGCUGAUGAGCUGUGACUCGUUACAUUAGUGCUGAUGAAUUAUGUAUUCUGCAACAAUAAUACAGUGUUUCCUCUGUGAGUGUCCUUAUCACUGAAGUCAGAUAACAAAGAUUCCCCACAUGUGACAUCCAUUCCUACAUGUUCCAAGACAUUUUCAUUCUUCAGUUCAGACUCGGCACCAAAUCGUCUCAUUUUCAUGCUACAAUAAGAAAAAGCAAUAGAGUGACUGGUUCCUGUGUGAUUUCUUCUGUUCUGUUCUGUUUUUUUAUUUCCAGUUAUUGUUGCCAUGUUUAUUUUGACAAUCUUCAAUUGUGAUCUAUUUUUGAUAAAAUAAAUCUUUUUUCUUGAUCAAUCUUCAUGUGUUUCAGACACAUGCAGAUGUGUCAUUUUCUUUCAUGUGAACAUUUACACAAGUGGGUGUGACUGAAUGUAAAGUGUGUGUGAAUGUUUGGUGUUGUCGGGAUGAAACGCCAUCACAUCUUGUCACCUUCCUCCAUUCAAUGAACCCUCUGUGAACCAGUCAGUAGAAGGGUUAGAACGGGUCUUUAAAGUCCAACUGAAAUAAACAGUUUGGUUUUUUGUCUGUUAACAUAAAAUCAGACAUUCCUUUGUUGGUCCCAGUGUUACUGCAGCAAAUAUAGAAAGAAUCAUCAAUAAAUGAUCAAUAAAUAGUCAACAAGCAAUAUUAACAAGAAAGUAUUAACACUUUUAACAAGAAGGAAUGUAAAAAUUAGAAACAAUAUAAACAAUAUAGACCAACUCAACAGUUGAAAUUGCACCAUUACAAAAUAUUAUAUUGCAUAGUGGAAUGAAAACUAAAAGGUUAUUGACAGUUUUGGUGUGUGUUUUCUACUGUGAAUUCUCCUAAAACAAUGAGAAACCAAAAGGGAAAUUUCUCCCAUUUUAAUAUCUUUGGUUUCCCCUUGUAUUACUUUUUUUUUUGACAGAAUAGUGUUCAGUCGUCUGCAUAGAGACUGAAAUAAACAGUUUUUUUUGUCUAUUAAGAUAAAAUCAGACAUUCCUUUGUUAGUCCCAGUGUUACAGCAGCGAAAAUAGAAAGAAGCAUCAAUAAAAUAACAAUAAAUAGUCAACAAGCAAUAUUAACCAUAAAAUUGGAUGACUAGUUGUGAUUUCAGUUGGACUUUAAAGUUGAGCCUCUAUUGGAUAGCAGUGGUUAUUACAAUAAUUCAGAUUAACUAUAAAUCUAUGUGUCUGACACGAAAUAUCUCCUGGUCAUAUUGUGGCAAAACAUUUCUGUUUUUCAGUUUUGGUAAUAUACACUGUGUAGUCAGGAGUCAAGAGACGGCACUUUAUAAGCAGGAAACAGUGAAACUCAGUUAAAGAAGAACAAAUCACAAAAUGACAAACAUUUAAACGUACAUCAUGAUUCGUGUGCAUCAUGACGAUGAAGGUAACAGUCAGAUUAUUUGACAGGAACAUGGAGGUGUCGUCUGCAAAAUAUAAAUUAGGUUCAGUCCUAACAGUCAUAUUUUCCUGCAGUAUUCUAAUAUCUGCUUAGUUCUCUAUAAUAUAGUGACUGUAGGGUUGUAGAUACAUGAACAGUUUCAAUAAACUCUAAUAUUUAUAUAUAUUUAUGUAUUUAUUGAUAUUUUUUUAGGGUUCCACCCACCCAAACCCUCCCAAUAUCUGACUGAAGAUCUCACCCUUGUUGCAGGAAGAAAAACACGAGCACUGGAAGUUAAAAAUGUUCUGAAUGAUCUUUAGACGUGGACAUUUAUUUGGGGGAUAUUAUCAGGGCAGUUUGAGGCAGAAAACCCAAUUCCACUUUAUAUCAAUGACUUAGUAAAAUGCUCAUAUGUUGAGUUACAUGUGAACAUUCGUCACAAUAAUAAUAAUUCAAAUAAAACAAAUACAAAUUAAUUAACCCUCUAUGGUACGCAUUAUGAUGCCAGAUUUGGAAGCUUAUUUUUUUUGCCAAUAAGUAACAUUGUAUCAUAAUGGUGCACAAGUUGAAAAGAGAGUUUUUAAAAUUAAUUUUAACAUAAUUUAUUUUUAAAAUAUGCGCAAAAGAUUCAGUCGCUCCAACAGUGUACAAUACAUAACAUUUUCAAUUUAAAAACAUUAUAAAGGGAACUGUUUUAACCGGUUUCUUGUCUGAAUGUUGCCUGUAGGAAACAUUUUACCAUUGAACCAACGACCCAUUGAAAUGAAUGUCUUGAACAGUCUAAGUGUAUGAAACUAUCAGAAAUGAAGGUUUACUCACCUAUCAGUAGGAAUAUAUUUUUUUCCAGAUGGAAAAGGACCAGGAAAUGACAUGUUGAGAGAUUUUUUUGUGGCGCAAAAUGGCAAAGAUGUUUCCUUUCUGCAAAAUAGGGCAAAUUUCAAUAUGGCCUCCUGGAGAUCAUGUGACAAAUUAAAGCAUUGCUAUUGGUUCCCUAUACGCUUCCCUCAUUUUUAAAGUAUUGCAUCACUAAAAAACAUGCAUUGUAGAAAUUUGACAGGCCAAAAAUGGCGCAACACCGUACCAUAGAGGGUUAAUGGAAAAGCUUGUUCGUUAGUUCUUGUUGUGUCUUUGAGUAUUGAAACCAAACCUACAGCUUCAAACAUCUUUGUUGGACAAAAAAAAGUGAUUGAACAUGAAAAUGAUAACACAUUUAAGUCUGGAGGGUGUAGAGUUGUUGUGAAAUGCUUCAUAGGUCAGAAAACCAGCAGACGCCACCUAGAAACAUGUGAUAACCACAUUUAUUCUCUAAUAAGCAAUAAUGCAUGAAAAGUUCAGCUUCAUCAGCAAAAGGUGAUCUGUCUGGUUCUUCAUAUAUGUGCAUAAAACUUUUAUAGUGCCUUAAUCAUAAUAAAGUUCAGUUAAUAACCCUAUCACAUGCAUCUGUACCAUAGAAGAAGAAGAAGAAGAAAGUUAGUAUUUAUAUUAGCACUGUAGGGAGCGAUCAUAGGAAUAAUGUAUUGUAAAUUAAUGUAUUGAAUGUACAGUAAGAAGUCUUCCUGGUUGGUGUUUUGAGGGGAAACAAAUAUGAAAAUAGUAAAAAGAAAUCUUUUUUCUUUGGAAGCUCAAAAUGGACAAGAAAGAUAUUUAAAGUCAGCUAUCUUGUUAAAGAACUAUUUUGUUUUCUUGUGGUGACUUCAUUGUUUAAAAAUGUACUUUUUAACUGCAACUGCAAUUAUACUUUGCAAUUUUUUUCAGGUCAGAUCCACACUUUAGAUAAAUAAGAAGUUUGACAUAUCUUCAUACCUAGAUGAUGGAAGAGGUAAUUUCUUAAUAACGUCUAAAACAACAUAUUUUGACCAUUUGAUGUUGUUUUUAACUCUUUCCAUUAAAUGAUUGCAACAAUGUGAUUUAUUCUUGACAGAUAAAGUGUUUAUCUUCUCAAAACGUUCAAUCUCUUUCCAACAUAUCACAAUGAGAAUGAAACCACAAUUAACAGAGGAUUGUGUCAGAAACCAAAAUUAUUCAACCUUUAUAGGCGACCGUGUACUUUGUUAUGUUUAGACAACAAAAGAACUUGGUUAGCUUUUGGAAAAAGAUCAAAGUUUGUAUUAAAAUAUGUGCUUUAUUUUACAGAUAUACAUUUUGGUUUCAUUCAGAACAUGAAAAGAGAUCUCCUGAGUCAAAGUCCUUCACAUAGUCCUAGCUAAGCGGACUUUGUCGCUCUUUAUAUUACGUCAAUUGAGUCCUUCUUUGCUCCAUUAUAACAGCUACGACCACUAAACUAAUAUAUAGCUUCUUUUCAUUAAUUAUGGUCUGAAUAUUUUAAUUAGUUAUGACUACUUUGUGGAUAACUGUCUAAAAAUGUGAACUUUGGCACCACAACAACAUAAUUUGUUAUCCGGAGAAAAUAAGAAAAAACAUGAUUACAAGAAUAUGGUAAUUCAUGUCCACUUUGAGCUUCCUUAGUUAAAUUUUCUUUACUAAACAUUCCUACAGUUUUUCUUUAGAAUAAAAACUGUCGGCUGUGAACUUUAUUAUUUCUUCACUUUUUUUCUUUACAUAAGCCUAUAUUUUUGGAAGUUAUUUUAGUCCGGGUGCUAUGAAAUGACCAACGUUAGAAUUGUUAGUGAAAGUUAACAUCAGAAUUAAAAACCAGAUCUUAUAAAUCUGAAAUAUAUCUCUUUGUAUACAUGCAUCCCCUGUGACUUUUACUUUUACAUUUUGUGUUUUUACAAACUGAGCCAAACAUUAAACUAACUUGAAAGUUCAUUUUUUUCUGCUUACUGGCUUUCUUUUUGUUGUUGUUUGAAUUGUAAACGUAAGGUUACGUUGUAACCCUGGUUCUCUGAGUGAAGAGACUAUCACUCCAUUCCGUUACAUUGUUCAUAUUUACAUUGUUGUAGCUGGUGAAAUAGUCUCGAGAUGAUAGAGAACAUAUGGUUUGGUUGUAACCCUGGUUCUCUGAGUAAAGUCUUGAGACGACAGAGAACGUGAAGAGACUCUCUCCAUCUAAUAUGAAACAGAGCAGAGAGAUCGGUUACAAAAUAACCCUGGUUCUCUGAGUGAAGUCUCGAGAAGAUAGGCUAUCUUGGUAACCUUUAUUAUCUGAGUAAGUCUCAAGAUGAUAGUGAACUUAAGGUUAUGUUGGCAACCCUGGUUCUCUGAGUGAAGUCUCGAGACGAUAGAGAACCAAGGUUACAUUGUAACUCUGGUUCUCUGAAUGAAGAGACUCUCUCCAGUCAAUAUAUAAUGGAGUGGAACGAUCAUCUCGAGACGACAGAGAACAUAAGGUUAUGUUGGUAACCUUGGUUCUCUGAGAAAAGUCUCAACAUGAUAGUGAACUUAAGGUUAUGUUGGUAACCUUGGUUCUCUGAGUGAAGUCUUGAGACGAUAGAGAACCAAGGUUACAUUGUAACUCUGGUUCUCUGAGUGAAGAGACUCUCUCAAGUUAAUAUGUAACGGAUCGGAGAGAUCGUCUCAUCACGAUAGAGGACACCAUUUCUUAGUAAUGACGCUCUGGGAAAAGCUGGUAAAACUUUGAGUUUGGAGUGAAACAAGACUGAAAAAAGAAGUGAAAAUAAUUCUCAUAGACCUUCUACCGGCAUGAGUGUAACAAACGCAGUGUGUCUCCAUGUGUUUGAGGUCGGUCCUGUGCUCAUUCUCAUGGUGUUUCCUGCUUCUGCUAACAGCUGAUACAAAAAAAAAAAAAACACAACUUUGUCUGCAAAACCUCAACCUGUGUCCUCAGUGUUUAAGAUCUGAAAUGAUAUUUUAUUUUUGUUAACUUGAGUGUCUGUGUAUCUCGCUGUAUGGCAGGUAUAAAGUGAAUAAAAACAGAGAACCAGCCGUUCGCGGUGUAACGGAUCCUCGGAUCCUCCAUCCUGUAUAUGCACAACAGAGUCAUUCUGGAUAGUUGUGACUACGUUUCAUGUGGCCUUUUCUUUCUCUUUACUGUACUGCAAUGUUGUAAAUGAUUUGUAUAAUAUGACAUAAUGUAUAUUAAAGUUAACAAGGCUUUAUGUUUCUACCACCUAUGUUUAAUAAAUAAAUGAACUGUGCUCAAACAUA